AGUGAACGCUGGCGGUAGGCCUAACACAUGCAAGUCGAACGGCAGCACAGUAAGAGCUUGCUCUUACGGGUGGCGAGUGGCGGACGGGUGAGGAAUACAUCGGAAUCUACUUUUUCGUGGGGGAUAACGUAGGGAAACUUACGUUAAUACCGCAUACGACCUACGGGUGAAAGCAGGGGAUCUUCGGACCUUGCGCGAUUGAAUGAGCCGAUGUCGGAUUAGCUAGUUGGCGGGGUAAAGGCCCACCAAGGCGACGAUCCGUAGCUGGUCUGAGAGGAUGAUCAGCCACACUGGAACUGAGACACGGUCCAGACUCCUACGGGAGGCAGCAGUGGGGAAUAUUGGACAAUGGGCGCAAGCCUGAUCCAGCCAUACCGCGUGGGUGAAGAAGGCCUUCGGGUUGUAAAGCCCUUUCGUUGGGAAAGAAAAGCAGCAGGUUAAUACCCCGCUGUUCUGACGGUACCCAAAGAAUAAGCACCGGCUAACUUCGUG
rnacentral:rRNA from 1 species